UACAGAGGUCUCAAGCGUUGUUCGGAUUCAUUGGGCGUAAAGGGCGCGUAGGCGGCCAUCUAAGUCAGACGUGAAAUCCCCCGGCUUAACCUGGGAACUGCGUCUGAUACUGGACGGCUUGAGUAUGGGAGAGGGAUGUAGAAUUCCAGGUGUAGCGGUGAAAUGCGUAGAGAUGGGGGAGAACACGCGUGGCGAAGGCGGCCAGCUAGACCAGUUCUGACACUGAGGCGCGACAGCGUGGGGAGCAAACAGG
rnacentral:rRNA from 1 species